rnacentral:rRNA from 1 species
GACGAAGAGGAACGAACCAGAUCGUCAGCUAAGGUCCCCAAGUCGUGACUAAGUGGGAAAGGAUGUGGGAGCGCUUAGACAGCCAGGAGGUUGGCUUAGAAGCAGCCAUCCUUCAAAGAAAGCGUAACAGCUCACUGGUCGAGCGAACCCGCGCCGAAAAUUCAACGGGUCUCAAGUCACGCACCGAAGCUACGGGUUUCUGCAAAGAAGCGGUAGGCGAGCAUUCUCUGUGCGGUGAAGGCGUACGGUAACGAGCGUUGGAGCGCAGAGAAGAGCUGAUGUUGGCGUGAGUAGCGAUAAAGAGAGUGAAAAACUCUCUCGCCGUAAACCCAAGGGUUCCUGGGUAAAGAUAAUCUGCUCAGGGUUAGUCGGUCCCUAAGGCGAGGCCGAAAGGCGUAGUCGAUGGGAAGCAGGCGAACAUUCC